ACCUGAAUGCAAACUUCAGCAAUAUCAGGCCUGGCAAUUGUUUUCGUUUCAGUCUGAAGAAGCUCAUCAUCCUUCCCGACUAGUAGUUCUCUGAUACCGCCAUCUCUUUCUUGUAGCCCUCCAACCCUAACUUGGCAAAAAAGGUAUCGGUUUUUCAAGUUCAGAGAUAUUUCCUCUAGUAGAACAGAGAUGGGAAAACAAGGAAUGUCGAUGGCUAUAAAACGGCCUACUUCCAUCUACCUCAUAAUUGUGUAUGGAACAACGGAAGGCCAAAUACUGCUCGGCCUCUCUUUUCCAGACCUGUGAAACAGA